GCUGGCCAAUCGCCCUGUUUAUCCUUCCAAGAUUUUGCUUCUUUUGGAGUUUGAAAGCAUUCAGAUUCAGCUCAAGUACUUUCUUUUCUUUUUUGUCUAUGGUUACAAUUGUAAGUGCAGGUACACUUGUUAAACUAUGAACUCAUAAAAGAAGAUAACACUAAAAGAAGAUAACACAUGUCAUUAACCUCUUGAUAGAAAGAUUUCAGUGAAAUAAGAUUAAAUAUGAAAAUGAGUCAAGUAGCUGAUUGAAGGAUGACUUACAAGUGAAACGGAGAGAGGGAAGAAGAGAGAGAGCUCCAGAAAAUAUGUGAAUGGAAUUUUUAGAAUGCCCCAGUUGGGACUAUGGGGCCUGUAUGGUGAAUAAACUUUUCAUAUUGGUAAAGAUUCUAAUUAUAUUCAGAUCCCUGUAAAUUCUAUUUUUAGAGAGUAUUGAGACCCUAUAAGUGAC
rnacentral:lncRNA from 1 species